AUUGAACGCUGGCGGCAUGCUUUACACAUGCAAGUCGAACGGUAACAGGCCGCCAGGUGCUGACGAGUGGCGAACGGGUGCGUAAUGCAUCGGAACGUGCCCAGUCGUGGGGGAUAACUACUCGAAAGAGUAGCUAAUACCGCAUACGAUCUAUGGAUGAAAGCGGGGGACCGUAAGGCCUCGCGCGAUUGGAGCGGCCGAUGUCAGAUUAGGUAGUUGGUGGGGUAAAGGCUCACCAAGCCAACGAUCUGUAGCUGGUCUGAGAGGACGACCAGCCACACUGGGACUGAGACACGGCCCAGACUCCUACGGGAGGCAGCAGUGGGGAAUUUUGGACAAUGGGCGCAAGCCUGAUCCAGCAAUGCCGCGUGCAGGAAGAAGGCCUUCGGGUUGUAAACUGCUUUUGUACGGAACGAAACGGCUCUGGUUAAUACCCGGGGCUAAUGACGGUACCGUAAGAAUAAGCACCGGCUAACUACGUG
rnacentral:rRNA from 1 species